CUUGCUAAUAAUAACUUCUAUAUAAAUGCAAGAAUUGUAGGAAAAAGCAUUUUGUUUAAUGUAUAAAUAAAACUUGGUGCCAUUUUCUUUGCCUUCGUCACUGGAAGCCUAUGGAUCAUGAAUGCAAAUUAAAAACAAUAAAGGUUGAAAGCGCACUGUAGGGCAUGUUCCAGAAGAACACAAGCCUUGCCCUUGGGAUGCCAUUUAGAGUAUUUUGUCAAACUGGGCAUUUGGAGCCUGUCCCAAGAGGAUGGAGAGACAGUCAUUCCAAACGUCUCUGCUGGGGACUGCUUUGACAGACUGCCGCCACCACUGUGGGAGAAGACUGACAGUGCUGCUGGGGCCUCCCCCAGCCCCUGGCUCUCCAACCAGCUCCUGGGCUUCCGGGGACCUGGCAAAAUGGGACACAUAGUGUCAUUGUGGCCUCCCCUCCUUGAGGUCCCGUUGGUGUGAGAUACCAAGACAGACCCCGGCAUUGGUCAUUGUUACUACAGGUCCCCAGCUGCAGCCAUUCAGGCUCACAGGCUGAGGGGGAAAAAAAGGAAGAACAAAACUUUUUGAUGGCUUGUCUGGUUCCUGAGAGAGCCUGAUGCCCACCUCUUCCCUGAAAGAAAGAUGCUGUUUCUAACACACAGACUGCGAGUCAAUGAGAAGGAAGACAGAGAAGUGGUGGGAGAGAGGAAGUCCAGCAAGUGUGCUCCUUCCCCCGCCGUCCUGUGGCGGAGAUGGAAGUACCAUUGAAACGCCCAAGGCCAAAAAAGGAAGAAAAGGAGUUGUCAAACCUUUGAGCCCCCACAAAUGCUUUCACAGCCCAGGACACUUCCCCAAACACCUUCCUCAGCCACACCAUCGUUUCAGCAUUCCUCCUACCGAAAUGGCACGCGUCUCUUGGAUAUCUCCUUUUAUUCGAGCAUAUGAAGAAGUUUUUCAGAAAGAGUUAAUGGCACUGCUUCACUGCCAUACAGCACACGGUGUUGAGAUGAUGCAAAUUUCGUCGUCCGCCUGCUUCUCAUUCCUCUGCAGACCAACACCUGGACCACUCGCAGGCUGA
rnacentral:lncRNA from 1 species